rnacentral:lncRNA from 1 species
GGACGCGGCUGUGCCCGCGACUUCCCGCGGGCACCCCGAGGCCCCUCGCAAAGUCUCGCCCCAUUCCGAGUCCGGCGGACGAACUUCGACCGCGCCCCCCACCAAGGCUAUAGCCCACCCGUUUUUUGGCCAUUUUUCCGCUGGGGGGUUUUGGCACCACGACCUUCGGGCGCUUAUUUUUGGACGCGGCUGUGCCCGCGACUUCCCGCGCGCACCUCGAGGCCCCUCGCAAAGUCUCACCCCAUUCCAAGUCCGGCGGACGAACUUCGCCCGCGCCCCCCACCAAGGCUAUAGCCCACCCGUUUUUUGGCCAUUUUUCCGCUGGGGGGUUUUGGCACCACGACCUUUGGGCACAUAUUUUUGGGCGCGGCUUUGUCCGCGGCUUAUUUUUGGUACCCCGAGGCCCCUCGCAAAGUCUCGCCCUAUUCCGAGUCCGGCGGACGAACUUCGCCCGCGCCCCCCACCAAGGCUAUAGCCCACCCGUUUUUUGGCCAUUUUUCCGCUGGGGGGUUUUGGCACCACGACCUUCGGGUGCUUAUUUUUGGGCGCGGCUUUGGCCGCGGCUUAUUUUUGGUACCCCGAGGCCCCUCGCAAAGUGUCGCCCUAUUCCGAGUCCGGCGGACGAACUUCGCCCGCGCCCCCCACCAAGGCUAUAACCCACCCGUUUUUUGGCCAUUUUUCCGCUUGGGGGUUUUGGCACCACGACCUUCGGGCGCUUAUUUUUGGACGCGAUUGUGCCCGCGACUUCCCGCGGGCACCUCGAGGCCCCUCGCAAAGUCUCGCCCCAUUCCAAGUCCGGCGGACGAACUUCGCCCGCGCCCCCCACCAAGGCUAUAGCCCACCCGUUUUUUGGCCAUUUUUCCGCUGGGGGGUUUUGGCACCACGACCUUUGGGCACAUAUUUUUGGGCGCGGCUUUGUCCGCGGCUUAUUUUUGGUACCCCGAGGCCCCUCGCAAAGUCUCGCCCUAUUCCGAAUCCGGCGGACGAACUUCGCCCGCGCCCCCCACCAAGGCUAUAGCCCACCCGUUUUUUGGCCAUUUUUCCGCUAUGGGGUUUUGGCACCACGACCUUCGGGCACUUAUUUUUGGACGCGGCUGUGCCCGCGACUUCCCGCGGGCACCCCGAGGCCCCUCGCACAGUCUCGCCCCAUUCCGAGUCCGGCGGACGAACUUCGCCCGCGCCCCCCACCAAGGCUAUAGCCCACCCGUUUUUUGGCCAUUUUUCCGCUGGGGGGUUUUGGCACCACGACCUUCGGGUGCUUAUUUUUGGACGCGGCUGUGCCCGCGACUUCCCGCGGGCACCUCGAGGGCCCCUCGUAAAGUCUCGCCCCCAUUCCGAGUCCGGGCGGACGAAUUUCGCCCGCGCCCCCCACCAGGGCUAUAGCCCACCCGUUUUUUGGCCAUUUUUCCGCUGGGGGGUUUUGGCACCACGAACUUCGGGCGCUUAUUUUUGAACGCGGCUGUGCCCGCGACUUCCCGCGUGCACCCCGAGGCCCCUCGCAAAGUCUCGCCCCAUUCCGAGUCCGGCGGACGAACUUCGCCCGCGCCCCCCACCAAGGCUAUAGCCCACCCGUUUUUUGGCCAUUUUUCCGCUGGGGGGUUUUGGCACCAAGACCUUCGGGCGCUUAUUUUUGGGCGCGGCUUUGCCCGCGGCUUAUUUUUGGCACCCCGAGGCCCCUCGCAAAGUCUCGCCCCAUUCCGAGUCCGGCGGACGAACUUCGCCCGCGCCCCCCACCAAGGCUAUA